UUGGAGGGCAAGUCUGGUGCCAGCAGCCGCGGUAAUUCCAGCUCCAAUAGCGUAUAUUAAAGUUGUUGCAGUUAAAAAGCUCGUAGUUGAAUUUCGGGAUCAAUAUUUCGGUCAUGCCGUUGGUAUGCACUGUUAUCAUUGAUUUCUCACCUUCUAAAGAACCGUAAUGCCAUUAAUUUGGUGUUACGGGGAAUUAGGACUGUUACCUUGAAAAAAUUAGAGUGUUUAAAGCAGGCUCACGCUUGAAUACAUUAGCAUGGAAUAAUGAAAUAGGACAUCCGAUUCUAUUUUGUUGGUUUCUAGGAUCGAUGUAAUGAUUAAUAGGGAUGGUUGGGGGCAUUAGUAUUCAAUUGUCAGAGGUGAAAUUCUUGGAUUUAUUGAAGACUAACUACUGCGAAAGCAUUUGCCAAGGAUGUUUUCAUUAAUCAAGAACGAAAGUUAGGGGAUCGAAGACGAUCAGAUACCGUCGUAGUCUUAACCAUAAACUAUGCCGACUAGGGAUCGGAUGAUGUUAAUUUUUUAAUGACUCAUUCGGCGCCUUACGGGAAAC
rnacentral:rRNA from 1 species